GGCCUACCAUGGUUUUAACGGGUAACGGGGAAUUAGGGUUCGAUUCCGGAGAGGGAGCCUGAGAAACGGCUACCACAUCCAAGGAAGGCAGCAGGCGCGCAAAUUACCCAAUCCCGACACGGGGAGGUAGUGACAAUAAAUAACAAUACGGGGCUCAUUUGGGUCUCGUAAUUGGAAUGAGUACAAUUUAAAUCUCUUAACGAGGAACAAUUGGAGGGCAAGUCUGGUGCCAGCAGCCGCGGUAAUUCCAGCUCCAAUAGCGUAUAUUAAAGUUGUUGCAGUUAAAAAGCUCGUAGUUGAACUUCGGGGUUCACCCAUUGGUCAGGCUUAAUUGUCUGUACUGGUGAGAUGAGUCUCUACCUUCUGAGGAACUUUCAUGCCAUUUAUUUGGUGUGGCUGGAAAUCAGGACUGUUACUUUGAAAAAAUUAGAGUGUUUAAAGCAGGCAUACGCUUGAAUACAUUAGCAUGGAAUAAUGAAAUAGGACGUUCGAUCCUAUUUUGUUGGUUUCUAGGAUUGACGUAAUGAUUAAUAGGGAUAGUUGGGGGCAUUAGUAUUCAAUUGUCAGAGGUGAAAUUCUUGGAUUUAUUGAAGACUAACUACUGCGAAAGCAUUUGCCAAGGAUGUUUUCAUUAAUCAAGAACGAAAGUUAGGGGAUCGAAGACGAUCAGAUACCGUCGUAGUCUUAACCAUAAACUAUGCCGACUAGGGAUCGGAUGAUGUUAAUUUUUUAAUGACUCAUUCGGCGCCUUACG
rnacentral:rRNA from 1 species